UCCUAAAAUUGAAGUGUCCCUAAGUGCCACAUAUUCGAUGAUUCCUGAAAAAGCAUGUAAAACGAGAGUCAACUAUGAAAAUAGUUGGUGAGUACUCACAAGUUUAACAAAAUAAUAUUGGUUCAUGAGUUGAAAUCAAAGUUUUGAUAAAAGUUUCCAAUAAUAAAAAUAUAUUGCUAAAAGGAGUAAAUAAGUUUGUAAACACAGUUCGUUGUCAUCAUGAGAAAUAAAGUAUGUUGCCCAAAUAAGAUGCAACAUUCAUAUUCUCAUGGAAGAUAAAGUUCGUUACUCAAACGAGUAAACAAGUUUCAUUGCUCAAAUGAGCUGUCAAUUUCGUUGCUACAAGGAGCAAACAAUUUCAUUGCUAAAACAUGUAUAUAAGUUUCCACUAGUAAAAGUUCGUUGUUGUAAUGAGAAAUAGAGUUCAUUGCUAUAAUGAGAAAUAAAGUUCAUUGCUAUAAUGAGAAAUAAAGUUGAUUGCUAUUAAUGAAUACAAGUUUAUUGCUAUAACGAGAAACGAGUUUGUAUGUAUAUGAGCAAACAAUGAGUCUGAACCAAACCUAUGACUGAAGCCUUAUCGACAUCUAUACUUAUCGUUCCAUAGAUGAAUACGAUAUCAUGCACUCCAGCAAUAGGGCAAGUGAGGAAUUGUCAAUUCCUAAUAGCGCUAUCCAUAAUGACCAUUGGCUCAAAGAGUUAAUGGUUAGAGAUAAGGGAAGGGCCUUAGUAUGAUAAGUUCUCAUGUUCCGUGUUGCAUAGACAUACAUAAAGAAACAUAGCAAUACAAUAGCAAUCAUGUUUGAUACAAAUCAAUUUAAAUACAACAUGCAAAUUAUAGUUUUUCUGGACAUGCUUUUCCACCCCAAAACAUAAAAACUGAAAAUAGGGGAGUGCGUGAAUACUCACAAUGUGCAAAAUAUAACAGUCAAGUUUAUACGAGUCAAUUAAAUACAACGAACAUAAAUAGUUUAGGACAUGCUUUUCCACCCCAAAACAUUUAAAAACCGAAAAUAGGGGAAUGGUGAAUACUCACAAUAUGCAUUGAGAUGAUGCAAAUGGUGCCUUGACUAUGCUCCACUCGUAUCACCAUCGAUUCCUAAAAUAAAGGUAUUCGCUAGUGAGUCUCUAAUCGAAAUCUAACACUAGUAUACAUAGUACUACAAUAGAAUUAUGCCAAUAUUGUGUCAAAAUUUAAUAUCGAUAAGUUACAAACAUUUUUCUGUGGAAAUUAAGUUUCAGAGAAUCAAUUGUUAUAUAACAAUUUAUGUGGAAAAUUUCCAUUAUUAAAAUGUUAAUAUUUAACAUUUUAGAGGUGUUCCAAUGAAAUAUUCAAAACUAAAUCAAUUUAAUUCUAAAAUAUCCCAAACUUUUCAUUUCAGUUUUAAUUGAAGUCAAAGACCUUAAGAUAAAUUUUCUUGAAUUUUUGAUUUGUCUAACUAUUUUUCACCAUUUUAGUUUCUUGAAUAACCAUAAAUUCAUGAAAAAUUGCAAUGAGUUAAGAAAAUUCCCCAAACUUUUUAUAUUCUUGUUAUUAAACAUUACUAAGCUGGGAAAAAUAUAAAAAUCGAUUUCGAAGAUGUUUAAUUAUAUUUUAUGAUAUUUGAGCAUUUAUUCCAAUAAAAAUUGAAAUAAAUAGAAAACAGUUUGCAAAAUUACCCAAACUUUUUAUUUAACUGUUAUUAUACAUAAAUAGGCUGGGAAAAAUAUAAAAGAUAUUUUUUCAGGGGUUUUUCUAUUUUUCCUUGUUUUAUUCCUUUAAUUAAUGAUUAAUUGAAGAAAUAAUAUUAAACAGUUAAAAUAAAUUACCAAAAAUUUUUGUUACAUUAUUUAUAGUAUAAAUAACAUGGGAAAAAUAUAAAAAGUGGUUUUCAUAUCGUAUAAUCCGGUUUUGAGUAUUUAUGUGUAUUUAAGUGUAUUUAAGUGUAAUUAACUUUAGAAAAUAAGAGAAAAAUAGUUUACAGUAGGGAAAAAUCCUCAAAAUUUUCAUGAAUUUUAGAUAAUCAGAAAUAUUUUUCCUAUUUUUAGACCAUUAUAAUUACCAAAAAUUGGGAAAAAUAGUAAGGCAUGAUGAAAAAUUUUGAAAUUAUUUUUCUGAGUCAUCCAUCACAGGUAAGGUAUGCGAAAAUUGCUAGAUAAAAUUUUCACACUCUCUAAAGUGGUUUUGUGAUUUAUUAUACCCUAACAAAAAGAAAAUCGGAAAUCAUACCAAACAGCAACACAAAUGGAUGAAAUUUAGUGAGGGGUCAUUAUUCACUAUAAGGGUCAUCCAUGAAUUUAUUCCGGAUUUAUUGACCUCUGGAAGUAUUUUAUGUGAUUUAUACCCUUGGUUUUAGCAAUAAUUUUAAUAAAUCAAAGAAAUAAUAAAAGCUCUUGGUAUUUUACAGAUUAUCACAUGCACAUGAGGGCUUUCAAAAGGAAAAAUAUUCAGAAUUUAUUCAGAAGGGAAAUAGGGGUAAUGAACCCAAACAAGUUAAGAAAUGUUGCAUGCAAUGGUGCAUGAGAUGUAAAUGUGGCUGAAGUUCAUGAAUUUGAGUAGCCAUUCAGUGAGGUUUUAAGCCACGAAAUUUUAGCCAUAAUUCACUGGAUAUGUUAAGUUUCUAAAGUAUUUUUCCCCAGAUUUAUGGUUGGGUUUCAGGCCAUUGACCAUGCAAGGCAAAAAUGGUGAUCAUAGAAAAGAGCUAUUUGCGCAACUAUUUUGUAAAAAUUGCCGAAAAUCGGAUAUUUAAUACUUUAAAGUCAGACCAGUUGGGUUUGAAAGUUAGCUCAAAAUAUUAUAUUUCAGAAAAAGAAUCCCGAAUUUUGGUUAAGAAAUGAGUGAGAUAUGACAGUUUAAAGUCAGGUAAUGAAAUCUGGCAGAUUGCAUGCAUGGUGAUUGGUUAGAAAAAUGAGUUUUCAUCAUUUAUUUGAGUAAAUCUUUUGAAAUAUUUUAAAAGAUAUCAUGAUAAAUUUAUAUUCUAGUUAUGUUUCCAGAGAUCAAAAGAUUAAAACUUAUGAAAAUGUAUACAUUCAUUUAUGAACAAAAAUUUGUUUCUCAAAAACUCUUAACUUGAGUUUGAUGCUUUAAUCCUUAAAAUCGAUUUUUGCACUAAGAUCAUGAACAUGCAACCUUGUUUAUCAUACAUGCAUGGUGUUAAAACACAUCCAUGAUGUUCUAAAAACCAUUUUAACAAAAAUAAAACAAGUUUGAAGAAGAUGAUGAAGUAGAAGUCAGUUUUUGAAGUAAAAUGCACAUGCAUAACUUAAAUCCUUGUUGUGGAUCUUCAAGAGAUGUAUGUUCUUUACCUUAAAUUUAUUUGUGGCUUGAAAAAACCUUAUGAAUCUCCUUAAUUUCGUGGUUAAGAGGCUGUGGUUGUGGUGUUUGGAGAAAAGAAAUUAGAGAUAAGGUAGAGAGAGUUUUCUAGAGAGAGAAAAAAGAGAGAUGUGUGUGUGUUGAAGAGUGAGAGUGAGAGAGAGAUAUAUG
rnacentral:lncRNA from 1 species